rnacentral:rRNA from 1 species
UUGACCUCGGAUCAGGUAGGAAUACCCGCUGAACUUAAGCAUAUCAAUAAGCGGAGGAAAAGAAACCAACAGGGAUUGCCCCAGUAACGGCGAGUGAAGCGGCAACAGCUCAAAUUUGAAAUCUGGCCCCAGGCCCGAGUUGUAAUUUGCAGAGGAUGCUUUUGGCGCGGUGCCUUCCGAGUUCCCUGGAACGGGACGCCAUAGAGGGUGAGAGCCCCGUACGGUUGGACACCAAGCCUUUGUAAAGCUCCUUCGACGAGUCGAGUAGUUUGGGAAUGCUGCUCAAAAUGGGAGGUAUAUUUCUUCUAAAGCUAAAUAUAGGCCAGAGACCGAUAGCGCACAAGUAGAGUGAUCGAAAGAUGAAAAGCACUUUGAAAAGAGGGUUAAACAGCACGUGAAAUUGUUAAAAGGGAAGCGCUUGUGACCAGACUUGCGUCCGGUGAAUCACCCAGCUCUCGCGGCUGGGGCACUUCGCCGGCACAGGCCAGCAUCAGCUUGCCGUCGGGGACAAAAGCUUCAGGAACGUAGCUCUCUUCGGGGAGUGUUAUAGCCUGUUGCAUAAUACCCUUCGGCGGGCUGA